AUCAGUUUAAUAUCUGAUACGUCCUC
rnacentral:piRNA from 3 species